rnacentral:tRNA from 1 species
GGCCAGUUAGCUCAGUGGGUUGAGCGCGGUGCUCAUAACACCGAGAUCGCGGGUUCGAUUCCCGUUUGGUCC